rnacentral:lncRNA from 1 species
UUUAAGACAAAAAUUUGAUCACUUAAAUUUAAAAAAAUUUAAAUUAAAUUAAAUAGUAAGAAUUUUGAACUUUUGAAAUAUUUUUAAUUAAUUCAUGUAUGCAUUUUUCAUUUUUUUAUCAAUGUUAAUAAAAUUAUUUUUUAUGAUGUUAGUCAUAAAAUAUUCAUUAUCGUUUGGAACCGCUAUACCGUCGAAUAACCACCGCAACCACCCCGUGCCGCACCACGAAAAGCCACACCACUGCACCACGAAACCAUACGGAUAUGGAGACAGAAAUAUGAAGAAGAACCAAACGGAUAUGUUGAAGAACAGUAAGAGUUGGGAGAUGAGAAGAAACAGAUCUGGUGAGAGUUGGAAGGGGUGGAAAUUUGGAAAGAGAGAAAGUGAGACUUGGGAGAGUGAGAGGUAGGGUUGCGAGUGAAAAUGGGUGAGUAAAAAUAGGUAAGAAUUUAGGGUUUCAGAAUAAAGUAAAUAAAUAGGUUUAAAAGUAAAAAAGACUACUUUUGUAAUUAAAUUUUUUUUAUAGAAGGUUGGGGAGUUGGAGGGAGAAGAGGUUGUGGUGGAGGGAGCAACACCCCAAGUUGUAGUGUAGGGUUUUGGGCCUAGAGGAGAUGGGUCCUAAGGAGACAUAUGGAUCUAGGAUAAAACUCUAGAUGGAUAGCAAACUUUCUAGAAACUUGUGGUCUUUUGGCUAUAGUGGUCUCCAAGUUGCUCUCUUUUGUGAGGCACAUGCUCUUGCCAUGUGUCAUGCUCUCAAUUGAGAGAAUUUCUCAUAGGUAUUGACCAUGUGUCAUUCUAGGAAU